rnacentral:rRNA from 1 species
ACCUGCGGAAGGAUCAUUAAUGAAUUUUAUGGCGGAAUUGUAGCUGGCCCCAACCGGGCAUGUGCACAUUCUGUUCAUUCCAUUCUCAUACACCUCUGUGCACUUUACAUAGGUUUGGUAUAGAAAAGGUCUUUAUUGACUUUGGAAAUACUGACCUAUGCUUUUAUAAACGCUUCAGUUUUAGAAUGUCAUCCGCGUAUAACGCAAUAAAUACAACUUUCAGCAACGGAUCUCUUGGCUCUCGCAUCGAUGAAGAACGCAGCGAAAUGCGAUAAGUAAUGUGAAUUGCAAAAUUCAGUGAAUCAUCGAAUCUUUGAACGCAUCUUGCGCCCUUUGGUAUUCCGAAGGGCAUGCCUGUUUGAGUGUCAUGGUAUUCUCAAUACCCCAAAUCUUUGCGGAUAAGGGUGUGUUGGACUUGGAGGUUUUUGCAGGUAAUGAUUGUGUUACCAGCUCCUCUUAAAUGCAUUAGCAGAGAUAAUACUGCUACUCUCCAGUGUGAUAAUUGUCUACACUGUUAGUAGUGCGGUAUAACAAAAUGUCUAUGCUUCUAAUCGUCUUCGGACAACUUUUGACAAUCUGACCUCAAAUCAGGUAGGACUACCCGCUGAACUUAAGCAUAUCAAUAAGCGGAGGA